rnacentral:lncRNA from 1 species
AUCUAACAAAAAAAAUCUAUGAACUACAUAUCUAAAUUACUACACAUCUAACCUAACAAAAAAAUCUAAUUAAUCUAACAAAAAAUCUAACAUAGUAUGAACAAAUCAAUUACUACACAUCUAAUCUAACAAAAAAAAUCUAAUCUAACAAAAAAAUCUAUGAACUACAUAUCUAAAUUACUACACAUCUAAUCUAACAAAAAAAUCUAAUUAAUCUAACAAAAAAAUCUAUGAACUACAUAUCUAAAUUAUUACACAUCUAACCUAACAAAAAAAUCUAAUUAAUCUAACAAAAAAAUCUAACAUAAUAUGAACAAAUUAAUUACUACACAUCUAACCUAACAAAAAAAUCUAUGAACUACAAAAAAAUCUAAAAAAAAUCUAACAAAAAUAAAAAACAAUGCUCACGUACGGCCGGC